AAUAGACCCUGAACCCGUCUGCCUACAAGCGGUCGGAGCGUCGUAAUGACGUGACGGCGUGCCUUUUGCAUAAUGAACCUACGAGUUACCUUCCCCGGCAAGGUUAAGUUCUUGAGGAACGGAGCCGAAGCGAAAGCGAGUCUGAACAGGGCGCCAAGUCGGGGGGGGUAGACGCGAAACCGAGUGAUCUACCCUUGGCCAGGUUGAAGGUUGGGUAACACCAACUGGAGGACCGGAUGGGUAAGCGUUGAAAAGCUUUCCAAUGAGCUGAGGGUAGGGGUGAAAGGCUAAUCAAACUCGGAGAUAGCUCGUACUCCCCGAAAUGCAUUUAGGUGCAGCCUCUUUAUAGUAUAUCGUGAGGUAGAGCGACUGAUUGGAUGCGAGGGCUUCACCGCCUAUCAAGUCCAGAUAAACUCCGAAUGCGCGAUAUAUAUUUACAGGGAGUGAGGGCGCGGGUGCUAAGGUCCGUGUCCGAGAGGAGAAGAAUCCAGACCACCGGCUAAGGCCCCCAAAUGAUCGUUAAGUUGAACUAACGAGGUCGGAUCGCAGAGACAGCUAGGAUGUUGGCUUGGAAGCAGCCAUUCAUUUAAAGAGUGCGUAACAGCUCACUAGUCGAGCGAUCUGGCGUGGAUAAUAAUCGGGCAUAAACGAUCUGCCGAAGCCGUGGAUGUCGCAAGACAUGGUAGGGGAGCAUUCCAUGCCGCGUCGAAGAUGAGGGAUGACCCUUGUUGGAGCGCAUGGAAAAGCAAAUGUAGGUAUGAGUAACGAUAAGGGGGGCGAGAAACCCCCCCGCCGAAAGACCAAGGUUUCCUGAUCAACGCUAAUCGGAUCAGGGUGAGUCGGGACCUAAGGCAAAGCCGAACGGCGCCGCCGAUGGAAGAAUGGGUUAAUAUUCCCAUACUGCCUCAUGGAGUGACGUGGAGACGGAGAAGUGACAGUCCUGCCGGCUGACGGAAUAGCCGGUUGAAGGGUGUAGAUAUUGAUUCCCGUAGGCAAAUCCGCGGGGAGAGUCGAACCUGAGAGUAUACGGAGCGCUUGCGCAACGUAAUAUGGACGUAACCAUGCUCCCGAGAAAAUCCGCUAAACUUAUCCAUGCGGCACCCGUACCGUAAACGGACACACGUGGUCGGGUUGAGAAUACUGAGGCGCUCGAGUGAUUCACGGUUAAGGAACUAGGCAAAUUGACCCUGUAACUUCGGGAUAAAGGGUCCUCGUCGUAAGGCGAGGCGCAGAGAAUAGGUCCAGGCAACUGUUUAACAAAAACACAUGGCUGUGCUAAAUGGAAACAUGAUGUAUACAGCCUGACACCUGCCCGGUGCCGGAAGGUUAAGAGGAGAUGUCAUCCGCGAGGAGAAGCGUUGAAUUGAAGCCCCGGUAAACGGCGGCCGUAACUAUAACGGUCCUAAGGUAGCGAAAUUCCUUGUCAGGUAAG
rnacentral:rRNA from 1 species